UACGUAGGGGGCAAGCGUUGUCCGGAUUUAUUGGGCGUAAAGAGCGUGUAGGCGGUUUGGUAGGUCCGCUGUGAAAACUCGAGGCUCAACCUCGAGACGCCGGUGGAAACCAUCCAGCUAGAGUCCGGAAGAGGAGAGUGGAAUUCCUGGUGUAGCGGUGAAAUGCGCAGAUAUCAGGAGGAACACCAAUGGCGAAGGCAGCUCGCUGGGACGUGACUGACGCUGAGACGCGAAAGCAUGGAGAGCAAACAGG
rnacentral:rRNA from 1 species